GCCUUCAUAGCUCAGUGGUAGAGCGCCAGUCUUGUAAGCUGGAGGUCCGUAGUCCGAUCCUUCGUGGAGGCA